GCAUACAGCCAUACCACCCUGAAUGUGCCCAAUCUCAUAUGAACUCACGAAGCUAAGCAGGGUCAGGCCUGGUUAGUACUCAGAUGGGAGACUUCCUGGGAAUACUAGGUGCUGUUGAGA
rfam:Otolemur garnettii contig070018, whole genome shotgun sequence.